AAGAAAGAGGAGACAUUCAUCUUCACCUCUCUCUCCCACGCCUACCAAUGUCCUCACGCCCCCUCUGCGUGACGCAUGUGCGAAUGACAAACCCCCCUUCCCACUCUCCCGCACCCACGGAGAACCCAGUGGGAUGCAGAGCUGACAGGCUACUGUUAGCGCUUAAAAAGCCCAGCCAUGUGAAAGCAGAUUCAGGAGUGGAGCUAACAGCUAAACUAUCUACUUUCCUCUUCCACGCCGCCUCUCUCCAUAUGUACGGCUACAGACUAAAUAUCCCGGAGCACGUUCAGAGCGACUAAAGAUGUUCGCUUUCUCUGUUUUUCAGGUACAAGGCCGAGAAGGAGCCGGGGUUCCAUGAAUGAUGAAAGGGAUGAGCGAUCUGACUUUGGCUGCUAUGCAAGGAUCCUAUCAGCUUGUCGGGAGCCACUGAGCAGGGGAUCGAACCAGCAACCUUCUGACUGCUUGACAACCGCCUACCUCCUGAACUUCACCCCAGCAGGGCCAUUCUCCGGGGCACAGCCCCCCUCACCCACAGUCAGCUCGUAUGAUUUAUGCACCGUAAGUCACAUUGACACCACCAGAAAAUGUAUAGUUUACUUUUCAACCAUCUGUUUGCUUAGCAUAUGAUUAAUUUAAGAUUGCAGCUUGUAUAUUUUCCUCUGCAUGUUGUAAAUAGUUAUAUUUCCAUAAGCAAGAACAAGUAGCUUUGGCAACAGUAUAACAUAUUUUUUUCCCUCUGAGCCUGCCACCUUAUGGCUACAAGGUACUUCAGCACUGUGCCACUUGGCUGCACUGGAACUAGGUGCACACGUCUCCAACCACCAACAGCAAGGCUGCAAAUAACAGAGCCAACAUGACCCAGGACCAGCGCAAGGCAACAGCUACUGGCAAUGCCAGAGGCACAAGAGGAUGUCUACCACUAUGUUACUGUGUAUGUAAGCCAUUUCUGUGCCUUUGCUAAUAAUGCUCACCAAUAAAACCAUGACCAUGA